UGUUGACUUGCAAACAGAAAAAUCGGAUUUAAUCGAUAAUGUUGGAGCCAUACCCUUCCUGGAUUACAAGCACUUUGCCUCAAAAAUCUUCUUUCCUGAGGCUGGUCCUCUGGCAGCAGUCAUGAUCAGAGACAUUGGGCAGGACUCUGAGCAGACAACUUUAGAUGAGAAAUGUCAGGCCUUUGCUGCGCUAAUCAGAGAUAAGCAGUUUCUCAGUUGUUUCGUGCAUGCAUUACAGGAACAGAAAAACUUCAGCAUAAAAGACAAGUGAGUCAAAGACAUUUAAAUGUAUGCAUGUAGCAGACACUUUUGUCCAAAGCGAGUUACAAAAGAGGAGGAAGACGCUUUGAACAUAUUCUCACCUCUGUUUGAAGAUGACUUGUUAAACCUGGUCACAGGCCCUUAUGGUUAUUUUCAGACCUUGGCUUGAUGCCUGUUGCUUAGAAGUGUAAACAGAUCAUGUUUUGUGCUUCCUCUUUGAGGGGGCUCAAAAGUGUCUACCCUUAAAAUGACCACCACACUGAAACACAGAUAUAUGUGUUUG